AGCAGCCACAGGCAUCUAUGUGGCUGAAAAGAGCAUCGUCAGAGUUCCAGAAUCCGACGAUCGGAUGGGCCACUUGGGCCAGUCGCCCUGUCUUCUCCGAAAAGGGGAAGCAAAGGAUGGAGAGCCCUCAGUCUGAUCAUGAUUUCACCCCCGGAGGAUCCCUACCUCCGUUCUAUCAGAAGACCCUCGAGACCCAUAGUCGAAAGGAUCUCCUGGAUCAAAGGUUCCAGGAGAUGAACCG
rnacentral:lncRNA from 1 species